rnacentral:rRNA from 1 species
UACGGAGGGUGCAAGCGUUGUCCGGAUUUAUUGGGUUUAAAGGGUGUGUAGGCGGCCCGUUAAGUCAGUGGUGAAAGCCUCCAGCUCAACUGGAGAACUGCCAUUGAUACUGACGGGCUUGAGUACAGACGAGGUUGGCGGAAUUGAUUGUGUAGCGGUGAAAUGCAUAGAUACAAUCAAGAACUCCGAUUGCGUAGGCAGCUAACUAGGCUGUAACUGACGCUGAGGCACGAAAGCGUGGGGAGCGAACAGG